UACGUAGGGGGCGAGCGUUGUCCGGAAUUACUGGGCGUAAAGGGUGCGUAGGUGGCCUUUUAAGUUGGAUGUGAAAUACCCGGGCUUAACUUGGGGGGUGCAUCCAAAACUGGGAGGCUAGAGUGCAGGAGAGGAAAGCGGAAUUCCUAGUGUAGCGGUGAAAUGCGUAGAUAUUAGGAGGAACACCAGUGGCGAAGGCGGCUUUCUGGACUGUAACUGACGCUGAGGCACGAAAGCGUGGGGAGCAAACAGG
rnacentral:rRNA from 1 species